AUCAGGAACCAUGGCUCACUGGAGCACCAUCUUUGGAGUCUAGCUAACACAGCAUCUUGGAUGCACUCCUAAGAGAAGACUACCUGAAAGGCGUGUACACUGGUCUAGCAGUUGAGAUCAGCUAGUGUUCCAUCUAUCUUCUGUCAUGUAUCUCUUCUAAGAUGUCUUGAUCGACUGACCCCAAAGCCAGAGGGUACCAGGUCAAAAAGCAAGUUUGGAAGUCUGGAAAAGUUCAAGAUUGGCCAUCUGCAGCUGGUGAGAGCCUCAGGCUGCUUCCCCUCAUGGUGGAAGGUGAAGGGGAGCUGGUGUGUGCAGAGAUUACAUGCUUUUCUAGGUCAUCAUUCUAGGCUUUGUUGAAGCAUGCAUUUUUGGCAUGAGGGUGGCAGCCUUUGCACUAUGUGCAUGGCUGAGGAGUUAGGAUCUGGAGGGUGAUGAAAGCAAAGGUGCUGCUGGUUACUCUUGGUUCAUCUAGCAAUAGAUGAUCUGAAUGUUAGAGUUCGCCAAAUAUUGUUCCUGGGCAGUCUUUGCUCUACCAAAUCAACUUUCUCCAUGGAAAUCUAAGAAUUUCCUCUCUUACUGAGACAACCUGUCUUCAGCUCAAAGCAUCUAUUCUUGCCUGAGUCUAUCUCCAUUGAUUGCCUAUAGCAAUGUCAGGCUGGCUGCUGUUUUAAAUUGAGCAUUUCAUGUAUAAAGCAUACCAGCUGAGGAGGCAUGUUUGCUAAAGUAGAAGUCACAGGUUCAGGGGUGACAUAUUGUACAAGUGGUCAUAAGCCUUGGAAGGGGAGCUAGAAGUCACCCCACAUUCUCCGCCAUGGCCAGCUCUACAUUCUAAGAGAACCAAUGGCUCUACCCAACAUAUUCUUCUCACCACAGAUGACAAAGACACAAGGAGCCAAGACAGAUCAUUCAAGCAUAUUCAUUGCCUCUAUCUUCAUCCCAUUAAAUAACAUCCCGCCAACCAAAGCAAGUUAUCUGCAUAAGAAUAAAUAUUCCACCUACUCUACUGCAAGGCCCUGCAAGAGUCAUGAGACAAAAGGCUUAUGUAUCAGUAGAAACUGAGGCCUACUGCCAACAGCUACAUGUGAGGGCUUGGGAGAAGAUACCAUGAUUCUAGUUAAGCCUUUUGAUAAUGGCAGCUCCAGCAGAUAGCUUGUUUGCAGCUUUAUAAGAGACCUACCACUAGAGACAAGUAGCUAAGCUUCUUCCAAAUUCCUGACCUGCAGAAUCUGUGUGAGGAUCCUCUGUGGACAGCACCCAAGAUGGAAACAACUGACAGUCUAUGGCCAGGGCUAUACUCUGGUGAAACUGAAAGGUGUCUGCAUGGAAGUGUCUGACUACCACCAUCCACUCAGGGUCAGUGAAGUAAACGCAAAUCUUGGUUUUCAUUACUCAUACACAAGAAGCCAAUUGUAGGGGAACCGUCUGGGGAACUGAAAGAAACCUUUAGGGAUAUGAUUUGGCAAAUGCAUUUGUUUCCCUCUAUUCAUUAUUAGAAGAGAGGAGAUUACAUACCAGACAUAUACCAAUAGAGAUGGGGUUUCAUCAUGUUGACCAGGCUGGUCUUGCCCUCCCGACCACAGGUGAUCUGCCCGCCUGAGCCUCCCAAAGUGCUGGGAUUACAGGCAUGAGCCACCACGCCUGUCCAAAACUUCUUGACUUAAUAAAGAAAGAAAGAAAGAAAAAAAAAAAAAAUCCUGUGCAGAGGUUGCUAAGAACCUUGGUAAGAAUCUUCUAUCUAUAAAAUUGUGAAGAAGAAUAAAAAAA
ensembl:lncRNA LINC02465 long intergenic non-protein coding RNA 2465